rnacentral:lncRNA from 1 species
AACAUGUCAGCUCUUGUUCUAUACACUUGUAGACGAUAGAAGAGAUUAUAAAAAAGAGUCUCUCUGAGACCAUGGCCACUUGCAGUUGCACAAAACAAGUUUUUACUGUCAAUAUUGAUCAUAUUCACAGCGUAGCCAAGAAAGCCAGGUGGACACUCCCCAGUGGGUAAUCGCGGCUUCCAAAGAUCAAGCCUCCUCUGUGGGUCAUCAACCACAAAUUCACCAGCAAAAGGUCUGGAAAAACGAAGUGUUCUCAGAAUGUUUAAACAUUGAAAGUUCUUAGAAAGUCCACAUCAUUAAUAAAUCAUAAAAAGACUCGUGCCUCAAAUUUUCAAGGCAUAUGACAAGAAACCGGCCAUCUAUAGCCCUCCCAAUAGAAGCACCAAGCCCAUGAAGACCAGAACUUUUGAUAAUGUGGCCUUCUUUAUCGUAUGUUUCCAGAGCCUUAACACAUUCAAAAGUCUUGCAGACAAUCGCCAGCAUAGUGUCCACUCCUAAGUACUCCGAUAAAAGACUGCACUCGAGAUAACAAGAAAAACAAAUAAAGGAUGGUGAAAAAGUAAUAAUAUUCACGUUGUCACAACUUCCCUCAACACUCAGCCCACAACCUAAACAGAAACGUGACUCUUUGACACCAUCAACCUAUCUUUGUGGCAAUGCAUCAAUUAAAAUCACUGACCAUUCAGAAGCACAUGACACAGUAACGCCAUGUAAGCUUUAUGUAUAAAAUCUAAAUGAUAAUAAAUCAUUAAUGACAAGAAGCAGCAAUAUAAGCAAAUUAUAAAAAGGAAAAUGAAGCUAAAAAUAAGCCUAUCUAAAAGCACAACCACAAAUGCAGAAAGAUGAGCAAACAGUACAAGAUCCGACUGACCUGCUAAGAUUCUCAUCCUCAAGUUGGCCAAGUGAAGCAACAAUACCAAGGACAUCUUUGGUGAAUGUAAGAUGAGAUGCCUGAGUGCAAUGGCGUGUUUUCAGCUGACACAAAACACCUGCAGCAGAUUUCUCAUGCUGAAGAAUCUGUCCUGUUGUUUCCUCCUCAUUUUGAUGGUUGGAAUGGUCCUCAUUAUCGACUUUUGCAGAAUGAUACUUCCCAAGAUUAACUGGAUGAAAACUUAUCAGAAGCAGACAAAUACAGAAAUCAAAGUGCAUCAUUUAUACCAAAACCAGAAAAAGUCCAAAAGUUUUAAGUUGAUGCCAAGUAACUAUAAACAAUUGCCACCUUAAGUCAAAAAUCUUUUAUACAACAUCUUUAGAACAUAAUUACUUAAACUUAGUGACAAAGUUUACCACCUAGCUUUUAGAUAAAAAAGAUUAUGGAGAAAGAUCAACACAAACGACAGGAUAUAGUACUUGCAAUCUCAGGGUGCAUGGUCAAUGCUCUUUACCAGUUCCGAGCAAGAAUUCCUAAAUUCUUGACCCAGCAGUUAUGGGGUAACUUAUAGUAGAAAGGACACACUGCAGAAGCGAUGAUAAAUGUCGUUCUAGCAUACGUCUCAAAUACACAAGGAAAAAUAGCUCUCAAAGAGAGAAAACGUCAAAUUAAUAACAAAGAUACACCCAAAGCAGAAUAAUCUGAAAUAUUAUUAAUGAAAGGUAUAAAAAGUAUUAUAUACAAAAACCAUAAUUUCUAAUACAUUUUUUCCAUAUGCUUCCUACAUCAAGAAACUUAAAUAUCCUAUAAGAUGACAGUUAAAAGAAUGUCAAUCAGACAUUUAUCCAAAGCUCCUGAAGUUUAUUCUUAUAAAAUUUGGGGACGGCUCAUUUCACCUACAGUUUGAAGCAGGGAGCCAAUGUUUUGUUUUCAUUUCAUUUAUUUUGCAAAGCUCAAUAAUGACUUAAUUUACAUUGACAUAUGUAGUAGAUGAAAAGAAGUAAUAUACCUUGCAAGUCAAGAAUAGAAUCCCCUAACUUGAGGCUUUGGCUCUUCAAAAGUUUAAUAUGGUCCUCGUGCUGCUUAAUUUUCAGGCCUAUCAUUUGUAGAUCGUCUUGAAGUCUCUACAGAGAUUGCUUUAUUGCAAAGUCAGUUCAUUAUUGUAUGAAUAACGUGAUAAAAUAACAUAAACAACUACUUUUAUCUCAUAAUAUAAUAUCAAAAGUGUCUGUUCUUUCUUUAGUUUCUCUUCUUUUUUUCCCCUUCCUCCUGACAAUAGAUAGCAAGAUAAAAUCUAAAUCUAAUUCCAAAUUUACUUUCUGGUACAACCUUAGAAUUGUAAAUGACCAAUUCUGUUCCUCCAUUUUGCAUUCCAUCCCUUGCAACUACAGAGUUUUCAGUUUGAUCCACUUGCAUUGAUGCUGAUGAAUCGUCAACCAAUACUGCAUUUGUUUGAGCUGAAAGCUGCAAUAAUAGGGUUAAUUCGUAUUUGCAGAUACCAUUUCACCACACAAACAUCACAGAUGAAAAUAAGAAAACAAACGCCAAAAAAAAGCCCAAAUUGUAAAGGAUAAGAUGAUUCCUACUUAUAAGUUAAUUACAAUUUCACUCUACAUUGAUGCAUGAAUAAUUCAUAUCAGUAUGAAAUACAAAUGUACAAACAAGGAACAGCUGGCUGCUUUCAUGGAGCAUUCAUAAUCAAAUAGCAUUUUAGUCAUUGGAAUUUGACAAUAAAAAGGCAAACUUCAUACAUGCGGUGUGGCCGGAAUCAUGUGAGCUUGUAGGUCAGAUGAGGAAUCCAUGGCAUGUCAAAGAUCUUUCCACAUUCCUUCACUUUCUAGUCCUCUUGUCCUAUACAGAAUCAUCCCAAAAAAAAAAACUUUGUCAAAAUCAAGAAAAAGUUUUUUUCUAGUAAAUUUCCAAGGAAAGAAAAAUGGGUAAAAAAAAAAAGAUUCAGUGCUUACUGAACUGGUUGGUGAAGCUCCUUGGUUUUCCCUACAAUGGCCGUCGUUUUCCGGCCAUCGGAGAUACUACGGCGGCUUCGAGGCGACACGGCGGUGACCAAGGACGUUCACGGCCAGCAGCAGAAUCGGUGGUUGUGAGUUGUGUGAGACCUGAGUUCGAAAUGGGAAAAGACUACUGCCUAGGGUUAGUAUACUGAAAUUGGGAUUCCAUUAUUUUUAUUUUCAAGGUGUUGGUGUGUUUUAAAUAAUUAUUUAUGAACCACCAAUCACGCGUGAACAAGUGGUAGAAUAAAGAGAGUGGUUAUUUGUACCCACCAUUAAAUUAAGGCCUGUACUAAGUUACGCUGAGCGUAACUUGCGCCUCUCACAGCAAUAGUAUUCGAUUUUAUUAGCGGUAUUAUUACUGUAAAAGGUUCCGCUCAACGUAACUUAGGACCUCCCUUAAAUUAAUAAGUUAAAUAAUUUAUUAUAAAAUAAUGCUGAAUAGUUAAAUUUUUAUCUUAAAUAAUAUGUUGUUUAUUAAUUUAUUGAUAAAAUAAUACAAUUAGUUUAUUCAAAUAUUAUAAAGAAUAUAAUAAAUAUCAUAUUAUUUAUGGGAUAGUUUUUUUUUUUUUGAAUUCUGUUAUACAUAUAUUGUUACUGAUAUUACAUCAGACAUUAUAAUUAUAAUAUUUACAAUCGUACUAAAUAACUGAGACCACUGCCAUACAUUAACCUACUGAAGCAUUUGCCCAAAUAUUUUAAAUCAUCUCUAAUAUUCGAAGGGUAUCUACUUCACUCACAUUUCGUAAGUGAGAGACUGUCUUUACUUAAUUAGUUGAUAAUUGAGGAAUAUCUGAAACUAACCUCCAUAAUAUUCUUAUGAAGGUUCGAACCUUACACUCAAUAUUAUAAGUGGAAUGCUUCUCCCAUUAGACCAAAAGCGCAUUGAUUAUGGGAUAGUUAUUUAAAAUAAAUAAUUUGAGAUAUUUUACUCCUUAUCGUAUCAAUUCAUGCGAAUAUGUUAAAAUCUAAUAAUCAAAUAUUAACUAAAACAUACAUAUCUGUGAUUAAAAUUGUACUAGCAUUGAUUUUUCCCUCCAUAAAGCCAACGUAUCUCGUGAUCAUGUGACAGUGUGUUAUGAAGUAAGAUUAAUACCGAGUAAAUGAGAAUAACUUAAGUCGAAUGGCAUGUGGAGACGGGUCGAAAGAGUAAAACUCUCUUAUUCAAUUAUAUUUUAUUUUUCCUAAUUAAUUUGCUUUAAGUGCAUUUUGAUAAUAAUAGAUAUUUUUUAAAUUGAGUUUAAUAAGUAGUGAUGUGGAUCAAAUGACGGGGCGUCGAUUUUUCCGACUUAAAACCAAUUGCCGAACUAGUAACCCUGCAAAUUGGACUGAAUCGAUCCACAACAAAAAAAAAGAUAAAAUAAAAUAAAUAAAUUUCAAUUAUGUACUUGCCUCCUGAACCAUUGGACUUAAAAGUCAACAAAUAAUAUUUAAUCCACAAUCAUAAAUUUGUGUCGGAAUCUCAAGUAAAAUUCAAGUUAAGUAACCCUGUUUAUGUGCUUGUUUUCAAUCAGAACUCUCGGCUCAAUAAAAAUUUACAAUAAUCAUAUUGAUGAACAGCUAAAUAAACAAUGGGACUUCAUUCCCAGUACAAAUUAUAAGAGCUAGAGUCAAUAAUUCAUGAUAAAAUUGUUCAUCUAUGGUAUCACAAAUUGCCACAAAAGAAAUAAAAUAUUUCACAAACUCUGUGUGAGCUAAACAUCCCAUGAAUCCAACCAAUUCGACCUCCCUAAUGCUCAGUUCACAUGACCGAUACUUACAGGUCUCUGCCAAUCCAAAUGGGGGCUGUACCUAUAAUACCUGAGAUUAUUGGACAAAAGCCCGUCAUGUCAAAAAUGUACAGAGUAUAAAACAACAUAUUCUAAGAAUUUACAUGUCGUAAUAAUAUUUUCAACAACAAAAUGAGAGAACAUUCAUCUUCAGUGUAAAAUCUAUAUAACGGUCGACAUGCUUUCAAGAAAGCAGUACGAGGAAGGACAGUAAUUAGAUAACAAAUGUUCAAGAACCUCUCAUGCUGCAGCUACAUUCAUCAAACGUAGGGCCAUAAGAGAGCUGAAGCUAGAAUAACUAUCAAGAUGGGUGAGAGAAUAUUGGUCAACAUUACAUGAAUAAUUCCGAAUCUACUAAAGUCCAACUCAAGCCUUUGAACUCUCUUUUCUACUGCAAACUUUGAUCCAAGUAUGAACAUCAACAUCUAUAGGAUGCCACAUCAGAACAAACAAUUAACUCUUCCAUAGCAUGACCUUGAAGUGAACUCAAAGCUUGAUUGACCCCACUAUCAAACUUAUGCCUUUCUAGAGCAAGUGGCUCACUUCCUAAACCCAAUUUCCAUUCAUAGUCCGUCAUUAGGAGGGGAUUGCCAAAGUUCAAACAACCAGAAAACCACUUCCAUAAACAUCUCAAUCUAUGCUGGUCGUAACUGCUUCUUUUAUAGUCAAGCAAGACAAGACAUUUACAAGCCACUUGGACUUGUAGUUCAGUAGUGAACCAUUACCCUUAAAGUCAAGCAUGACUAUGAGGGCAAUGGUUCGAAUUUUCACGGACUCAACCUCCCUCAAUUAAAUAUAAUUGUGUGAAGAUUACUUGUAACGUCUUUCUCUCUUGCGAAAUGCAAGUGGAGCAGAGACAUCCCUCCUCCGUGAGGGAUAUUUGGCCGAACAUGUAUUUCAUAGAAUAAAAAUAUAAUAAUGUAAGUUCCAAGUAUAUAUCUGAUUGUAAAUAUCAGUGUAAUGAUCUGUUGUCAUAACAGUUGUAAAUAUAUGUAUAGUAUAAUAACCUGAUGCUUAACCAGUUAAAAAAAUAAAAAAGACAAGACAUUUGCAAGAAUAUCUUCUUAGAGUUUGCUAUAUUGAUCAUCAACACAAUUAUAAUCUUGCUGGACCUCAGUUUUGCUGCCACUGAUUCUGGGCCCCUGACUUUGGUGCGUCACCUAAUUAGAGUAUGAACCAUAGACGUCAAUUCUAAAAGAGGGAUCCAAAAGAAGGAUGGAGAAUUAGUAUAAUGAAUGUAAUUCGGACUCUCUUUUUUUUUUUUUUUGUAAUAAACGUUAAGAGGAAACUAAAUAAUUCAUGGCUGAUAUGAUGCGUGGCAUCUUUUGGAAUAAAUGACCUUGGGGAAUUUACAAUAAACAAUCUCAAUUGAAAUUUGAAAAGAAUCAAGAGGGUAAUACAAAAGCGCCUUCAAAAGAGAAGGCCAUCAAGUUAAGAGUAACCAAGUUUUUUUGCAUUUGACAGUGACGCGAACAUGCACUCUGACAACGACACCAACUCUCCAUCCAUCCAUCACCAUCAAAGCCAAAUGCCUCAAAUUCCACUACAUUUCCUGCAAGCCAUUUUUAGUUUCAUCUUUCUAAUUUAUUACAAUGUACACAAUAUGAAAACAAAGAAGUAUUUCAUUAUAUUUUGAUGAAUCAUAGAAAGGAGGAAAAAAAAAAUGGCUCCAUUCCCAGUAAAAGUGUAAAACCAGAAGAAUAGUGAAUGAACUCACAAGUCCCAACCCACGUCCCACGCCAGAAAAUAAUUCAAGAUUAUUUUACAUGUCUAUGGUAUCACAAAAUCCCACAAAGGAAAUCUAGCUCCCAACUCAAUAGCAUGCUUUCUAGCAGAAUGAUACUCCUCACUGUCCCUAUACAGUAAUUCCUUUGGAGUCCCCAAAUACUUAGGUAUACAAGGAUCAAUAAUUAUCUUCUCUAACAGUUUGGCUUUCUCGAUCAAAUACAUCACAAACUCAGUUUCAGCUCUCUGCCCCUCGAAUCCUACCAAUUCGACCACCCUAACGCUUAAUUCACAGACUGAUAAAUACGGAUGAUCCUUGACAGUCCGCGCUGUUCCAGAUGAGGGAUGUACACGAAAUAGCUGAGACAAGAAAAGACAGCAGUAUCAUAGUUAGGCAUAGAUACACAAAUCAAACUUGAAAUAUAUAAACGGAAAUGGUAAACAAGAUUCUUAACUAAUUAAAGUAAAAAGGAAAAAACAUUUCACCUUCAGUGUAAAUUUAUACAAUGAAGGACAUGCCCUCAAGAAAGCAGCACAAGGAAGGAGACGAUCAUCAUCAAAUAAAUUGAUUUCCAUUUCCAAAUGCUUGAGAUUACAUAAUUCAGGAAGAUCAUAGGGGACUGCCUCAGGUACCUGAAAAAUUUUGAUGAAAAUGUAACACAAGCACAUCGAAAUAAAUAAAAAUGAAAAACAAAAUAAAUGAUCAAUAACAAUACUAGUUAUUUGUAUUAAGGAAAGGGGGAAAAAGCACACUUACACUCACAAAAGCUAGGUUCAACUUAAGUGUGUGUAGUUGCAGAAGAAUGGUUGAAAGCUGGCGGAGUUUAUUCAUGAUGUAGGUGCAAAAGAAUCGAUCAAAAGAUACCUCAGUAAGAUUUGGAACAUCUCUAAAAAAAACAAUUCCUGAUCCAGAAUAUUCAAAAGAUAUGAUAUUUGGUGCAUCAAUUUCAACAUACUGCAAGAGCACAAGAUGUAACUUUAAGUACUUCAACCUGAGUGAUGGACCAGAAACUUUAAGACUAGUGAGACAUGGUGAGUGGAUUACGGUUAACACCUCAAGAAAAUGACAGCAAGAUAACAAAUGUUCAAGAGCUUCUCCUGUCACAGCUACAGUAUUCAAACUGAGGGCUGUAAGAGAACUGAAGCUAGAAUAACUGUCAAGAUGCGGUGAAAAAGUGUAUUCGGCAACAGGCCAUGAAAAAUCUUGUACCCUAGAAAAGUCCAAAUCAAGCUUCUGAACUUUCUUUUCUACAGCAAAAUUGAUCCAGUUAUGAAUAUCCCCAUUGGAGGCAACAUCAAAACAAAUCCUUAACCCUUCCAGAGAGUGACAUUGAAGUGAUCUCAAAACUUGAUUGACCCAACUCACAAACUUGUGUCUUUCGACAUCGAGUGGCUGACUUCCCAAACCCAAUGUCCAGUUAUAGUCCCCCAUAGUGAGUGGAUUGUCAAAGUUCAAACAACCAUUAAACCACUUCCAUAGAUAUCUCCAUCGACUUGAUAAUAUGCUGGUUCUAGCUGCUUCUUUAAUAGUCAAGCGAGACAAGACAGUUACAAGAAUAUCAUCGGGGAGUUCGCUAAUGCGAUCAUAUAGGCAAGUGUAAUCCUCUCUCCUUUUUCUCUUAUUGCAAGGCAGAAGCCAAGUCGUGUCUGAGAGAAUUAACCAAAACCCAACAAAUUAAAUUAGCAAUUGAAAAGCAAAUAAUAAAUAAUUUAACCCAGAAUGAGUAAUAUAGCCGGCAGUCUAACCUGUGCAGUGGGAGAGAGUCUCCACCUCGCUCCUAAGAGAGAAUUUUAAAAACAGUAAGUCCUCAAAAAAAAAAAAAAAAACUAAAAUCAUAAACAUCACACACACAUAUAUAAAGACAUUUCAUAAAAUUUCCUCUAUUGCUUUUCUUUUAUGCGCUGGCAAAAUCCCCAAAUCAAACACUUUGUCAGCCUAGGGCAUCUAUGACUCCUUCAUUAUGGAAAAAGGGGGAAAAAAAAGAAAAAGACAAAGGUUUACUGAAUACUUACCUCAGCAAUUUCGAUUUUGAAUUUCUGGCAAUUUCUCGGCAUUCGGAGCUCAUGACUCCUUGGCAAUUUUUCAUCUUGUUCAGCAAAAUAAAAUAAAAUCAAAAUCGAUGAAUAUCUACGAUAAUGAUUCGUUCCUUCUUAUGUAAUAUUUGUUUGCCACUUACUCUGAGUCCUUACUGUAAUAGGAUAUUUUGUUGUUUUUAAGUGUGAAGGAAUACGGUUGCAAGUUUCAUAACUGGUUGAAAAAAUAAAAUAAUAAAAGAGUAGUGUUGUAAGACAUUCUAAAAAAUUAUAAGAUAAGUAAUUUAUUAAUUCAACCAUACGUGUGUGAUGAUAAUGCAAUUUAUUAUGAAUUAUGAUAGACAACUCAAUUUUUUUUAUUUUAAAUUUUAUUUUGAAUAAUGUAUUAUUUAUUAAGUAAUUGAUAAUUUUUUAUAAUAUUUAAGUGAAUUAAUUAUAUAAUUUCAUCAAUGAAUAUCACAUUAUAUGGGACAAUUUUUGUGAUAAAAAAAUUGAGAUGUAUACACUCACAUUAUAUGAGAUAAUUUUUUUAAUAAAAAAAUUCAAAUGUAUAACAUUAUUCUUUAUUUAUUUAGAGUUUAUAAAAUAUUUAUCAUUCAAUAAAUAAGUUUAUGCACUUAAAUUUUACAAAUUUAUCAAUUACUCAAUAAAUAGCACAUGAAAUAUCACAUGACAUGUCAUAUGGUGUCUUAUCAUCACUUUUCUUUUUAGAUAUAUUAUUUAUAUCUCAUCAUCUUAGAGGAGGAUGCAAAAUUCAAAUCCCACCCUCUAAUGUUCAUUUUAACUUGGGGGGUAGACUCUCCCAAAUUUAUUCCACAGCAACAUAAGGCAAUUUGGGUCAUUAUCACUAAUUAAAAUCCCCUAAGCCACAGAAUCUUACUGGAAAAGAAAACAAUUUCAUGUCUUCCCCUGCAAGCCAAUGAUUGAUUUUAUCAACGCAGAUGCACGGUCCAUAAGAACUAAAAAUACGAUAACUUAUAGGUAUACAUUCACUUUUACAUGGUAAAAAAAAAAAAUAAAUAGACUCAUUAAUUGAUUGGAUUGUAUAAUAGUGAUUCUGGGCCUAGCAAUUUAGUUGCACAAAUAGCUUCUAACUGCAAUUGAUGUUGAAUCACCACAUCACCAGCACUAGUAACUGCUUAACUUCAAACUAUAUCCUUAAUCACAAGACUAAACGGGCAGCAGGCCGUACAAGGCCGUAGUUGAUUCCCAAUACUGAUAGCAAUUAAGACAUUUUAUCCGUUUUGCUGAACUAUUCUGGUCAUUCCCGUGGUUGGUGGUCUUUUUAUGCCCACAUCGACCACACAUGUAUCUCGUUGAAUGGUAAAUUGGACCCAGGUACCCUCCCUUCCAGGGCAGGUACCUGUCAGAAGCUCUCUCUUUUUUGAUCUGUUGAUUUAAGCGCCGGCUUCCAUCACUAACCAUUUCUUCCGAAGACAUUUUGAUCAGUGCCUCUGGCUUGACAUGCCCAAGAAGAACUUUUCUACGGAAAUCUGGGUUUUCUGGAUCCAUGAGAUUAAACAAUAUAGAUCUAUACUUAACCUCAUAGGUUCCAAAAGAGUGGCCCCACUUUUCAAACAUUAGAGACUCUGCUGUAAUAGCAACUCGAAUUGGAUCACAUCCAUUCAAUUUAUCUUGAACUUCUUCAUCAACCUCACCAGAAACCUUGGACAAUGCCUUGUAAAGUUUUUCCCUUAUCCUUUCCCGAAAGUAAUCAUUGCAUUUAAUCAUAGAAACCAACUUCUGUGGAACAACAGCAGAAGCUGGCUUCUCUUCUCUAAUCGCUUCGGCAUCGACAUUAUCCAAUGAGUUGGUUUCCUCAGUCACAAUGAAUUCCGAUCCUACCAGUUUCUUGGAUCUCGGUGCACCCUUCUGAUCAACUCUUCGAACCUUGACAACUUCAACAUCCAAAGCCUGUUCAAACUCAUCAGAAGUGAUCUGCCGCUUGCCCUUGGCAAUCUCUACAUUUGCAGACUUGAUCUCACCACAGAUUGCAAAGCUUCCAUUUUCCUCAUCUCCUUUCAUUUGCUCAAGGAACAAGCUUCUCCAUGACAAAAUCAGUUCAGAAGCCGUAUCCUGGAUUUUCUGCCUUGGAUGUUUUGUCAGCGGUAGAAGAUGCCUUACAAGCUGAAAUAAUUUGCACAAGGAGCUAAGUAAAAUAAAAUAACUAAAAUUCCAGCAGGUGCAAACUAGCCAUGCAAUUAGUCUAUCAGUCUAUGCAAAAUGUUAAUAAAGUUGCAUAAAGUAACAUGCCAAUCUUUGAAAUAUUGUUUCUUCCCACAGAGGCCAUUUAGCAUGUCAGACUGUGCAGUAAAAUCUUUGUCCAACUGCAUUGUAUCGUGUUGGCAUCUUUGUUCUACGAAAAAUACUAGAUGGACCUGUCCAAUGACCAUUAUAAACCUCUUAAAAGACCUGUAAACUCCAAACACACUACUACCAAGUGCACUCCCACAUCAUCAAAAAAAUAACCUCAACAAGAUCACUCUCAUUACCCAUUUGAUUUCAUACAACUCCCCGCAUUUACACCCGCUUCCAUAUCCAAUCAAAUAGUCAAACUCUGUAUCACAUGGUCGAUCUAAGUAUAUUUCUUGGAAUGCCAUCUUAAAUGGGUUAAUCUUUGUACAAAUGAUAGGAGAGAUCAAGUAAUUCACAAACAUAUUAGAUGCAAGGUGAAAACAUAGAACCUAACAUGCAUGACAUAACAAGCAAACUAAGUAUACAUAUGGAGAGUGAGUAACACAACACCUGCGUGGAAACAAGAAGUUGACAGGUGAUGGAAGACUUGUGGAGCUGAUCCAAUGCCGCAAUGCACUGUGCUUCCUCCAACUCUCCUUCUGCGGAUGCUGCUGUCUCUGCCCUUCUUUUUGCUGCUUCACACAACUCCAUGACCUCUUUCUCCAUUGCUAUUUGUUCAGCCUGUUCAAUUUAAAGGAGCAAAGCAACGAAAAGCCAAAAUUACAAAAACAAUUUGUGGAUAUAUAUAUAUAUAUAUAUAUAUAAAUACUAUAACAGAAAAAAAAAAGCAAUUCAUUCGAUAGUAAAAACACAAAAUUCUUCUCCCAAAAAAAAAAAAAUUCCUUAUUGCCAAGAAGUAAACUUGGUUUUAAAUCAUAAAUUUUGUUUAUUACUAAUUGUAGAAACAAACGAAACUGCAGCUAAUUGAUCUUAUUGUUCUACGUAUAGCAACAACGGAACAGAAGAAAAAAAAAAGUGGUAUUGUUAUACACACACACACACACUAUAACAAUACCGAAAUAAAGUGGUUGUCGGCGGUAGCGAAGACGGCUUACGGAUGAUGGCAGCUGGCAAGGCGUGCGAUAUGCUAGAGCCGGCCAGUUAUUGCUGACGGCGAGCGGCGUGUUGGGAUUGCAGGGGAAAUAUUUGCAGAGUUUUUAUUUAUUUUCUUAUUUGUUAUUUCUCUUUUAUUCUGUUUCUUUUCUAAUAACAAUACGUAUAGGAUACAACACAACGGCCAACGCAGAUAUGUCGACUCUACCCCCUACCGAGCAGCACAAGCAACAAGAAGAACGUCAAUUUUGGUAGAAUUAAUGACACGUGACGUUAAUGAAAACAUUGGUAAUUGUUAGAGACCUCCCCUGAGGUUUAGGAAAUUAACACGUAAAUAGAAAGUAUUGAUAUAAUUACAGACACUUCCGUUGCUGUUAGAUGCUAGUUAGUUUGACUGUCAGUAGACUAUUAAAAUUACUAAAAUGUCCCUACUGUCAAGAUAAUAAAUUAUUAAAUAAAGUUUUGGGAACUGAUGGGUAAUAAAAUUCCCUCUAGAAUCACAAAAUAUAGAAAAAGACCAAAUUAACCAUCUAUAUCCUCUCUAAUGUAAACAACACAUUAAACUCAAGGAGAACCCGUCUUCUAUGCAAUGGCUUAAGACCAAAUCAAAUGUUUUGGCUAGCAAAUAAUUUUACAACCAAUGGAAAACUAAGAAUUAAAAAUCAGAGAGAGCAGAAAAUGAAAACCAAUACAUCAGCUAGCACAAUUAAAUGAUUUGGCCAAGUAGGUUCAAAUAAUUAUUCCAAUUUAAUUUUCAGGAAUAGGAAGGAUUUCUGAAUCUACUCCUAAAAAUUUUGUUUCCGAUGGUGGCCAAAUGGAUCAGUUGAUGACCUCAAUGCUUAUCAAGAAAUAUGCUACAUGCCUCUCAAAGUGCCCAUCAAACUAAGCUCUCCUCUUUGUUCUCCAUGCUGUAAAUAAUAUGGAUAUGUUUGAAAGUGGGAGCGGAAAAGACAUCAUCCACCAUGGAAACUAUAAGUAAGAAAUUGACUGAUGUUAAACCAAUUGGGGUGUUAACACAGAGAAGAUUUUACUUGAUGAAUACGAUUGCAUAAAAGUUCGAAUUAGAUAAAGCCACUCAACUUUCUCAGUGCAUUCAAAUGUGCACCGUAGUUUAGUUUUCACAGUCUUUAGUCGUCCAAUUAAAGAAGUUGGAAAAGGAUUGACAAAAUUUGAAAACUAAUAACAAAGUGACUAAAAAAAGGGACAAUAUGAUAGGUCCCAAUCAAAGUUAGCUAACAAUCACAAGAGUUUUCUGCUAUGGCAAGAAAACAAAGACUAAGAUAAAUUGAUUUAGUUGUCUGAAUGCUUUUUAUUAUGCUGGAGCCUUUACUUAUAAUACUAACAUAACAAACUCAGCCUACAAACACGGCUGUAAUCAAAAUACGUAAUUGAAAUAACACCUUUGCUACUUUUACCAAACACAAAGUUAAACAACAACUACUAAGGAUUUGAUCUUAUCCUUUAUUCCUGCACAAUCAUUAAAGCUGUCACGUGAACAACUUUGAUUCAUUAUUUUCACGUGAACCCAUGCAUGCAUGAACCAUGCCAGGCUAAAGCGAAAGUCUUCACGUCAGGCUAAAGCGAAAGUCUUCACGUCACGUACUUGGGAUUUGGCUUAUGCCCUCUGCUGGACUUGCGUGGCUCUAGUGAGGAAAUUAAUCCAAAUCAUGCAAGGCAUCAUAGUCUGGAAAGAAUGGAAUUGGACAAGAAUAAAGAUAUUAAAGUAUGGAAUUGGACAAGAAUAAAGAUAUUAAAGUAACAAAAGUUGAUAUUUUUAGCAAAUUGAAGUGGAAGAACUUUUCCCCCAACGAAACACAGCGAAACCGAAAGAGGGAAAAAAAAAAGAUAGGAUAACAAACAACUCUUUCCCUUUAUCAUCAUACUAUACAAUCUCUCCCAUUUCUUUGAUCCAAUUCUCUUCAUCUUGUCAUCGAAAUCUAAGUAUUUGAAAUCAAUAAUAAAACUUUAAAGCAAAGGAAUAAAGUGAAAUGAAAAAAGGGGGGGGUGUUAAAAUGUGAGGUGACACAAAUGAUCCAAAUCGAAUGGUGCAGCUGUUGUUGUCACGCACAUCACCUGAUGGAGUCGUCGGGAUGUCAAGGACUUAGUGGUCUGCUGACAUGUCCAAUCAUCUCGGAUUGCUCAUGUCUGGGCCUCCAAUUCCAAAAACAGUUGAAGCCAUUCCCUGCCAGUACUUAUUUCGUGGAAGAAUCGAGCCACCACCAGAACUCAUUUCCUUCAUAACUAAAGCCAAAAUCUUUUUUUAUCUUCGUUUAACUUUGGGCAAAAGGAGAUGCUUCUUCACAGCUUUAGAAAGAUGAAUUUCUGUUGGGUUUUGCUCAGGUGAAAGAGAUAACUAAGUGGAUGUUUCAUUUCGUGAAAAUACUUGUUUUUUUUUUGUCCACUGGUUAAUCCAAAGCACUGGUUAAUCGGUAUUGCAGCCAAUAUUUCUCAGAUAUUUUGAAUUAUUUUGAAUUUUCAAUAUGCUUUUACAUAUUUAUUCUUUUAUAUUAAUAUUAUACGUAUUUUUAUAUUAACGGUAGGGAGGUGUUUAUAAUUAUAUCAAUACUUUAUAUUUAAAUGUCAAUAACUCAAAUAUCAAGGGAGGUCCUUAAAAAUUGUCCAUGAAAUUAUUAACGCGUCAACCACUCGGCCGCCACGUCACAUUUUAAAAUUUUUAAUCAUUUAUUCCUUUUUUUUUUUAAUUUCGAAGUACUCCCUCUUUUUUUAAAUUACUUUUUUGGUUUUAAGAAUCUUGAUAUAUUUAUUGUUCAGGCAAAAAUAUUUUCAUCAACUCAUUGUAAUAUUUUUUUCCUUAUAUUUUGAAUGAAAAUAUGAAUAAUUUAAGGUUUUUAAAAAUAAAGAAUGUUAUAAUUUGUUUAGGGUUUUAAGGAUUAAUCCGAAAUUUAUCUUUUUUUUAAAAGUUAUUUCCUUAAUGAGAUUUUAAAAAAUUAGGUUUCGAAUUAAGGGGCUGCCACGUUUCACAAAUUAAUAGGCCGCCAAUCACAACACCUCUUGCAUUUUAUUUCUCUCCUCGAAUGAAAUGGAAUUGUGUUAUUCGUUUCACCCACUCCGAGAACAAUGGAUGUAAAAUCAGACAGUAGGAAUAGGAUAUUGCCACAAAUAAUGUCCAUCCACAUGGAAUGGAAUGGAUUGGAAUUUGGAUUGGAGUACUAAUUAAGGUAGAUACCUAAACGUUUUAAAAAGUUAAUAUGUGAAAAUAUCCAGAUGAAUCAUUUUGCUUUUGCUUCCUUAGCCUCUAUCAGUUUUGAUAAUUCGGCAUAGACCUGAUCCAUUUCUGCAUUAAUGUCAUCAAGUUCCUUCUUCAUCGAUUCAAUGGCAGCAUUGUUCUUUUCCUUAAGCUUUUCAAUCUUCUCCUUCUGGCGAUCCAUAUCUUCUUUCUUCUUCUUAAUCUGUUCAAAUUUUUCAAGCACUUUGCUCAUAUCUGUUAUGAAACCCUCCUCUUCGUGGCUUGGUUCUGCGUCCAUAAUUUCCCUCUCUUUUCUUUUAGCUGUUAAUAGAAUAAAUGGGGCAAAGUGUUAAUUUGUUAGUUUUGUAAACAAUUAAAAUAGUUAUAUAAAUAGAUAUACUGCAUGAAUUGGGAGUUACCAUUGUCCAGUGGGUUUGAAAUGGAUUUUAAAGCAAGCUAACUGUUUUUUCUCAUUCAUAUCAUUUUUCAUUUACAGAGAAGAUAUCUGAAUCUGAUCAAACUAUUUCAAACUAUAAAAAGUUCAAUUCAUGAAAACAUGAGUCAGGACAACAACACUAAUCACAAAUUAAAGUUCAUUAAAUAAGAAGAAAUUAAUUAAAGCAGCUGAUAAUCUAUUCAUUAAACUUAUUUAGUUAAAAAGGGAGAGAGAGGGAGAAUUUUAAGUUUUAACCUUGAUAAGAAGGGAUUCCUCAAGUUGAUGAUUGAUCAAAGGGAAGAUGGCCGUAGUGAAAUGAAUUUACUUUUUGACUCUUGAUUGACCAAUUAAUGUUGGACGUAUAAAUCUAUAAAUACCCUUCAGCUCACUUUGUGACUUGUGCGGUAGUUGGGGGCAGUGCAUGCAAACUACUUGUGAUACUUGUGGGGUUCUUCGUAUGCCAAAGAAAUAUUCAUGAGAUGAACAUGAAUGAAAAAUUCGGAAUGCAUGAAAAAAUGUACAAAAAAAUACAUAUCUCACUCUCACAUACAAUUUGAAAAGUAAUUAGCAAAUAGUAUAUCUUACUUUCACAUGCAAUUAUUAAAAGUUGUCUAAUAAAUAAAUCGUGUUCAUUUAGGGUCCGUUUGGAAUUGUUUUUGGUAAGCUUAAAAGUAAUUUUGAAAAUCUAAAAAGUAAUUUAGUGUUUGGAAAAAAAUAAUCAAAAUCACUUUUGUCAAAAUCAGCAUUUCCUACAGCUAAUAGGCUGAUAUUGAAAAGAAGAGAAUGAGCAGUUUUUAGAUUCUGAUUUUGAUAUUAAAAAAAAAUCAAAAUCACUUUUGUUAAAAUCAGCCUCUUUCACAACUGAUUUUGAAAAGUAGAGAACGACUAACUUUUAAAUUCUGAUUUUGAGAAUUAAUUUUAUCAUUUAAUACAAUUCCAUAAAUAUCCUUAAAAUUAUUACCUAAACCCAAAAUUAUCAUUAUUCAAAUUGGAAACAAAAUCAAUAUUUUAAUAAAUUUUUGUUAUAAUUCAUCAAUAUGAAUUUGUAGGCCAAAUUAUUAUUAAAUUUGUUUCACUAUAUUAUAAAUUUUUAAUUAUCAAUUAUUUUAAGACAAAAAAAUUAAAAUCAAUAUCUUAUAGAUUUUAUUUUUAGUUAAAAUUAUUAUAAUACACAACUAAAAAUAUUGUAUGUAAAUGUUUUUAUAUGUAUAAGUAAAUUUUAUCAUACAUUAUAUAUAUUUUAGUCAUUUAUUUUCUCUCCGCAGUUUAAUAAUGAAAUUUACCAAACAUUCAUAACUGUUUUCAAAACUUACGGUACUUUUGAAAAUAAAAUUUACUAAACACUUAACCGAUUCUCUUCACAUCUCAUUGUUUCUAUAAUACAGCUAGCGACAACUAUUUUAAAAGAUACAACAUUCCUAAAUUGGCCCUUAAUACAACCACAUUAACUUCAUUUUUUUUUUAAUCAAAUGUGAGGUUUCUCAGUUAUUAACGUAAUUUACUCUUUGUAAAUUUACAUUCAAAUACUCAUCUAUUGACAUGUGUAAAUAUAUAAACUGUAACACUAACAUAUCAUGUAAUUCACACGCAAGCCACUAAGCCUUUGUUGUAGCCAACGUAGUAGCCAAAUGGCCAAAUCCUCCCUCCAUGUUUAAAUGGCAAGUGUUUGGUAGAAAUAUCAAACUGUUUGAUGAAAUGACUCAAUGAAGGAUGUCUUGGCGGGAAAGCUACUAUUUGAAUUCUUCUGCAACAACAAGCUUACAGGAAGAGAGUUCUUAACGUUUCUUGAGGGCUGAGGAGGUUUGAAAAGAUCAAUGGCUUAGAUUAGAAGUUGAGAAUCAAGGAUUUUAUGUCAACCAGUGAAUAAAAUAAAAAGUUGUACACAACCAACCUUAUCAUCUUUUUAAUGGAAAGGGACAAAAAUGCAGGAUGGGUAUUCAUGACACAUAAUCCACAAAUUUUAGUUAGUAAAUAUAAAAUUGAAUAGCAAAAUGCCUAAUUUUUGUAAGCCAAAAUAAUUAUUGUUCUGUUGUUCUUCUAAUCAAAUGAAAGCUAGUCCUUUCACAAUAUAAAAUUUCCAUUCCACAAGGCCAAUGUGGUUUUACUGUAUAACUACCGAUGAAGCCAUUCAUUGAAAUCCAGAGAUAUAUGAUGUGUAUAUAAGUAGAAACAAUGGUUAAUAUACGGGGCCUUGGAUUAAAAUGGAAGCGAGCCCAAUAGUGAAAUAGUCAAUUCCAGGACAAAUUGUUUAGUGAAACUGACCAUCCUACACAAUUUGAAGGGCCAUAACUUCCAAUUGCAGCAAAAUUAUGUCAACAUCUAAGAAAAACCUAAAUAGCAAGUAGAAAAGUGUGAAAGAGAAAAAAAUAAUUCUACAAUACAGAUGACAAAAAAUAAAUCAGUCAUCUAACUUGUGAAGUUGUGAUGGCAGAUUUUCUUACCGACUGCCUAGGGAGAAGACGCCAGAGCUUCUAAUAAUCCCACCAUCUAAAGAAAUAGCUCCAUCACUUAUUAAGGGAAGAGCAAGUAACAUGUCAGCUCUUGUUCUAUACACUUGUAGACGAUAGUUGCACAAAACAAGUUUUUGCUGUCAAUAUUGAUCAUAUUCACAGCGUAGCCAAGAAAGCCAGGUGGACACUCCCCAGUCAUAUUCACAGCGUAGCCAAGAAAGCCAGGUGGACACUCCCCAGUGGGUAAUCGCGGCUUCCAAAGAUCAAGCCUCCUCUGUGGGUCAUCAACCACAAAUUCACCAGCAAAAGGUCUGGAAAAACGAAGUGUUCUCAGAAUGUUUAAACAUUGAAAGUUCUUAGA